AACAAAUGUGAGAGCCAGGGAGAGAGCAUGAGGAGAGCAUGUGAGAAUGAGUGAGGAGAGAAUGUGAGGUGUGUAUGAAGAUUGUGUGUGUGCGUGACAGGAGAGUGCAUGUGGUGUGUGUGAGAUAUGUAUGAGGUGUGUAUGAAGAUUGUGUGUGUGCGUGACAGGAGAGUGCAUGUGGUGUGUGUGAGAUAUGUGUGAGGUGUGUAUGAAGACUGUGUAUGUGCGUGACAGGAGAGUGCAUGUGGUAUGUGUGAGAUAUGUAUGAGGUGUGUGUGAAGAUUGUGUGUGUGCGUGACAGGAGAGUGCAUGUGGUGUGUGUGAGAU
ensembl:lncRNA